rnacentral:ncRNA from 2 species
GGAUGAACCCUUGGAGAGACUCGAAAUAGAGCACCGAAGGAGAAAGCUAUAAAAGCGAAACUCUCAGGUAAAAGGACAGGGGAAAGGUA